CCACCCUCAAUUUGGGUGGGUACCAUCUAAUAGCUGCCAGGAUGGCUCAAAUCAAGUAGACAGAAGAUGGAAAGAGCAGAUUUGCCGAGUCUUCUGGACUUCAUUUUUCUCCUGUGCUGAAUGCUUCCUGCCCUUUAAACAUCAGACUCCAAGUUCUUCAGCUUUUGGACUCUUGGACUUACACCAGUGGUUUGCCAGGGGCUCUCCAGCUUUCCAUCACAAACCGAACACUGCACUGUUGGCUUCCCUACUUUUCAGGUUUGGGACACGGACAGGUUUCCUUGCUCCUCACCUUGCAGACGACCUAUUGUGGGACUUCACCUUGUGAUCGUAGCCAUGAAUACGGAUCCAAAGCAUCUGAGUAACCGAGGCUCAUAGAUGAAAGGCACUUGCCUUGUCUCUGAUGAGACUUUGGACAUGCAUGGACUUUUGAGUUAAUGCUGGAAUGAGUUAAGACUUUGCGGGACUGUUGGGAAGGCAUGGUUGGUUGUGAAAUGUGAGAAGGACAUGGAAUUUGGGAGGGGUCGGGGUGGAAGGAUAGGGUUUGGCCCUCUGUCCCCACUCAAAUCUCAUGUUGAAUUGUGAUCCCAGUGUUGGAGGAGAGGCCUGGUGGGAAGUGAUUAAAUCACAGAGAAGGACUUUCCCCUUGCUGUUCUCUUGAUAAUCAGCGAGUUCUCACAAAAUAUGCUUGUUGGAAAGAGUGAAGCACUUCCCCUUUUGCACUCUCUCUCUCUCCUGUUACCAUGUGAAGAAGGUGCUUGCUUCCCCUACACUUUCUGCCAUGAUUGUAAGUUUCCUGAGGCCUCCCUAACCAUGCUUCCUGUACAAUCUGAAGAACUGUGAGUCAAUUAAACCUCUUUUCUUCAUUAAUUACUCAUUCUUGGUUCGUUCUUUAUA
rnacentral:lncRNA from 10 species